CAGGAUGACGCUACAAACUCUACUUCUUGCACAAGAGUUUUACUUCAAGCACCUCAUUUCUAAAAAUGCAACCAUUCCUUUUUUAUCCAUAUACACCAAAUAAUUGCACACCAAACCACAUACCAUCUUUCUUUUCUUAUCUUUGUUUCCAUACAAAGCAUAUGUUGCAAAAGAUGAGACUCUGAUGUAGCUGGUAGCACUAUUUUCAGAUUCAGUCACUCAGAAAAAUUUCCAAAUACCAUCCACCUUAUUACAUGUAAAGAGAACAUGUGAACAAGUUUCUUUUUGUACAUGCCAAAGGGGACACAUACAUAAGAUCUUGAUCAACUAAAUGAACAAUCAUCUUCUUAAGGUUAUCCUUUGUAGGUAGUCUAUUUUUGAAAACCCUCCAAACAAAGUGAUUGACCUUUGAGGGAACUUUUAAAUCCCACAAAAAAGAGAACAGGUGCUCGUGUUGUAAACCCCAAGAGAUAAACCAUGUAAAGUCGUAAAAGCCGUGCUUAAACUAUACUUCCCACUCGGGUCUUCUUCCCACCACCAGUCGUCACUCCACCCAUAUGAUUAUGCAUAUUUGCCACCACUUCAUUCAAUUCUAAACCCAUCUACCACCCUCCAAAAAUGAGAGAGAGUAAUGGAUGUGAUAGGUGAUGUGAUUAAAAGAAAGAAAGAGAAAAA
rnacentral:lncRNA from 1 species